UCCGAGUUGACCCCGGCGGUCUCCCAUGAGUCCCACCAUCACGUGCUGGCAACAUGGAACGAGGGUUGCGCUCGUUGCGGGACUUAACCCAACAUCUCACGGCACGAGCUGACGACAGCCAUGCAGCACCUGUGCGGGCUCCCGAAGGAGCGCCGUGUUUCCACGGCUUUACCCCACAUGUCAAGCCCAGGUAAGGUUCUUCGCGUUGCGUCGAAUUAAGCCACAUGCUCCGCCGCUUGUGCGGGCCCCCGUCAAUUCCUUUGAGUUUUAGCCUUGCGGCCGUACUCCCCAGGCGGGGCGCUUAAUGCGUUAGCUGCGGCACGGAGGACGUGGAAUGUCCCCCACACCUAGCGCCCAACGUUUACGGCGUGGACUAC
rnacentral:misc_RNA from 1 species